GGGUUGUGAGGUUAAGCGACUAAGCGUACACGGUGGAUGCCCUGGCAGUCAGAGGCGAUGAAGGACGUGCUAAUCUGCGAUAAGCGUCGGUAAGGUGAUAUGAACCGUUAUAACCGGCGAUUUCCGAAUGGGGAAACCCAGUGUGAUUCGUCACACUAUCAUUAACUGAAUCCAUAGGUUAAUGAGGCGAACCGGGGGAACUGAAACAUCUAAGUACCCCGAGGAAAAGAAAUCAACCGAGAUUCCCCCAGUAGCGGCGAGCGAACGGGGAGCAGCCCAGAGCCUGAAUCAGUGUGUGUGUUAGUGGAAGCGUCUGGAAAGGCGCGCGAUACAGGGUGACAGCCCCGUACACAAAAAUGCACAUGCUGUGAGCUCGAUGAGUAGGGCGGGACACGUGGUAUCCUGUCUGAAUAUGGGGGGACCAUCCUCCAAGGCUAAAUACUCCUGACUGACCGAUAGUGAACCAGUACCGUGAGGGAAAGGCGAAAAGAACCCCGGCGAGGGGAGUGAAAAAGAACCUGAAACCGUGUACGUACAAGCAGUGGGAGCACGCUUAGGCGUGUGACUGCGUACCUUUUGUAUAAUGGGUCAGCGACUUAUAUUCUGUAGCAAGGUUAACCGAAUAGGGGAGCCGAAGGGAAACCGAGUCUUAACUGGGCGUUAAGUUGCAGGGUAUAGACCCGAAACCCGGUGAUCUAGCCAUGGGCAGGUUGAAGGUUGGGUAACACUAACUGGAGGACCGAACCGACUAAUGUUGAAAAAUUAGCGGAUGACUUGUGGCUGGGGGUGAAAGGCCAAUCAAACCGGGAGAUAGCUGGUUCUCCCCGAAAGCUAUUUAGGUAGCGCCUCGUGAAUUCAUCUCCGGGGGUAGAGCACUGUUUCGGCAAGGGGGUCAUCCCGACUUACCAACCCGAUGCAAACUGCGAAUACCGGAGAAUGUUAUCACGGGAGACACACGGCGGGUGCUAACGUCCGUCGUGAAGAGGGAAACAACCCAGACCGCCAGCUAAGGUCCCAAAGUCAUGGUUAAGUGGGAAACGAUGUGGGAAGGCCCAGACAGCCAGGAUGUUGGCUUAGAAGCAGCCAUCAUUUAAAGAAAGCGUAAUAGCUCACUGGUCGAGUCGGCCUGCGCGGAAGAUGUAACGGGGCUAAACCAUGCACCGAAGCUGCGGCAGCGACGCUGAUGCGUUGUUGGGUAGGGGAGCGUUCUGUAAGCCUGCGAAGGUGUGCUGUGAGGCAUGCUGGAGGUAUCAGAAGUGCGAAUGCUGACAUAAGUAACGAUAAAGCGGGUGAAAAGCCCGCUCGCCGGAAGACCAAGGGUUCCUGUCCAACGUUAAUCGGGGCAGGGUGAGUCGACCCCUAAGGCGAGGCCGAAAGGCGUAGUCGAUGGGAAACAGGUUAAUAUUCCUGUACUUGGUGUUACUGCGAAGGGGGGACGGAGAAGGCUAUGUUGGCCGGGCGACGGUUGUCCCGGUUUAAGCGUGUAGGCUGGUUUUCCAGGCAAAUCCGGAAAAUCAAGGCUGAGGCGUGAUGACGAGGCACUACGGUGCUGAAGCAACAAAUGCCCUGCUUCCAGGAAAAGCCUCUAAGCAUCAGGUAACAUCAAAUCGUACCCCAAACCGACACAGGUGGUCAGGUAGAGAAUACCAAGGCGCUUGAGAGAACUCGGGUGAAGGAACUAGGCAAAAUGGUGCCGUAACUUCGGGAGAAGGCACGCUGAUAUGUAGGUGAAGU
rnacentral:rRNA from 1 species